GAAUAGGGUGUCCUUUCCCCACUUUAUGUUUUUGUUUGCUUGGUUGAAGAUCAGUUGGCUGGAGAACGUGUGCAGUGGGCUGAAUGAUGACCCUAAAAACCUGCGAACGUGACCUUAUUUGGAAACGGGGUCUUUGCAGAUGUAAUUAAAGAUUUUGAGAUGAAGUGGUCAUCCUGAUUAUCCAAGUGAGCCUGAAAUCCAAUGACACAUGUCCUGAUAAAGGACACACAGAGGAAAAGACAGAAACAUGGAUGAAAAGGCAAAGUGAAGACAGAGCAAAGCCG
rnacentral:lncRNA from 1 species